AACACAUGCAAGUCGAGGGGCAGCACGGGAGUAGCAAUACAACUGGUGGCGACCGGCGCACGGGUGAGUAACGCGUAUGCAACCUACCUAUCAGAGGGGAAUAACCCGGCGAAAGUCGGACUAAUACCGCAUAAAACAGGGGCACCGCAUGGUGAUAUUUGUUAAAGAAAUUCGCUGAUAGAUGGGCAUGCGUUCCAUUAGGUAGUUGGUGAGGUAACGGCUCACCAAGCCGACGAUGGAUAGGGGAACUGAGAGGUUGGUCCCCCACACUGGUACUGAGACACGGACCAGACUCCUACGGGAGGCAGCAGUGAGGAAUAUUGGUCAAUGGGCGSGAGCCUGAACCAGCCAAGUMGCGUGAAGGAUGACUGCCCUAUGGGUUGUAAACUUCUUUUAUAAGGGAAUAAAGUGAGGGACGUGUCCCUUUUUGUAUGUACCUUAUGAAUAAGGAUCGGCUAACUCCGUGCCAGCAGCCGCGGUAAUACGGAGGAUCCAAGCGUUAUCCGGAUUUAUUGGGUUUAAAGGGAGCGUAGGUUGACAUAUAAGUCAGCUGUGAAAGUUUACGGCUCAACCGUGAAAUUGCAGUUGAUACUGUAUGUCUUGAGUGUACAAGAGGUGGGCGGAAUUCGUGGUGUAGCGGUGAAAUGCUUAGAUAUCA
rnacentral:rRNA from 1 species